UACAGAGGUCUCAAGCGUUGUUCGGAUUCAUUGGGCGUAAAGGGUGCGUAGGCGGCGCGGUAAGUCGGGUGUGAAAUCUUGGAGCUUAACUCCGAAACUGCAUUCGAUACUGCCGUGCUUGAGGACUGGAGAGGAGACUGGAAUUUACGGUGUAGCGGUGAAAUGCGUAGAUAUCGUAAGGAAGGCCAGUGGCGAAGGCGGGUCUCUGGACAGUUCCUGACGCUGAGGCACGAAGGCCAGGGGAGCAAACGGG
rnacentral:rRNA from 1 species